AUUGAACGCUGGCGGCAUGCCUUACACAUGCAAGUCGAACGGCAGCACGGGGCAACCUGGUGGCGAGUGGCGAACGGGUGAGUAAUGCAUCGGAACGUACCUUUCAGUGGGGGAUAACGUAGCGAAAGUUACGCUAAUACCGCAUAUUCUGUGAGCAGGAAAGCAGGGGAUCGCAAGACCUUGUGCUGAUUGAGCGGCCGAUGUCAGAUUAGCUAGUUGGUGAGGUAAAGGCUCACCAAGGCGACGAUCUGUAGCGGGUCUGAGAGGAUGAUCCGCCACACUGGAACUGAGACACGGUCCAGACUCCUACGGGAGGCAGCAGUGGGGAAUUUUGGACAAUGGGCGCAAGCCUGAUCCAGCCAUGCCGCGUGAGUGAAGAAGGCCUUCGGGUUGUAAAGCUCUUUCGGCCGGGAAGAAAUCGUAUGGGUUAAUACCCUGUGCGGAUGACGGUACCGGCAUAAGAAGCACCGGCUAACUACGUGCCAGCAGCCGCAGUAAGAC
rnacentral:rRNA from 1 species